AAAGGGGAAAUCGAAAACCUUGAAAAGAGUAGAAA
rnacentral:ncRNA from 1 species